rnacentral:rRNA from 1 species
GAUGAACGCUGACAGAAUGCUUAACACAUGCAAGUCGAUGGGGAAGUGGUGCUUGCACCAUGGUAACCAUGGCGGACGGGUGAGUAACGCGUAAGGAACUUACCUGCGGGACCGGGAUAACAGCAGGAAACUGCUGACAAGACCGGAUAAGGUCAUUAAGCUGCAUAGCUUAGUGAUGAAAGGAGACGCCUGCGGAGAGCCUUGCGUCCUAUUAGCUAGUUGGAGGGGUAACGGCCCACCAAGGCGAAGAUAGGUAGCCGGCCUGAGAGGGUGGACGGCCACAAGGGGACUGAGAUACGGCCCUUACUCCUACGGGAGGCAGCAGUGGGGAAUAGUGGACAAUGGGGGCAACCCUGAUCCAGCAAUUCUGUGUGCACGAAGACGGUUUUCGGAUUGUAAAGUGCUUUCAGCAGGGAAGAAGGAAGUGACGGUACCUGCAGAAGAAGCGACGGCUAAAUACGUG